GGAGAGACACGCAAGCUGCAAAGGGAAGCAGAGUCAAAUUAAAGCCUCCCAACCACGGCUCGUGGUGCUGCGGAUGGGGCGUCCCUCCCUCCCUCCCUCGGCUUGAUGAAGGUGGGUGUGAGAUCCCACAGGACUGUCUGGAAGAGAGCCCGUGGAAGUCACUGUAUUUUGCAGAAGCUGGAGGCGAAGCAGAAGGUUUCUUCCUAAGCUGAGUGAAUCUGGACACUUUCUAACUUGGAACAAAUCACACAGACAAAAUGAAGAUAAAAUGCCCCCAUCCAGGUUGCAGCCUGACACUUCUGCCUCUUUUCCCUCUGGGUAUAUCUUACUGGGUCUUUGCAGGUCAUGGCUGGACUGUUGUGGUGGGGUAACUGAAACAAACCGAAGAGACUGAUGGAAAAAAAAUCAAAAAGCAAGGGCGGAAUUUCAAAGCCUGGAUCAUAGAAGAAGGAAUGCUGCAUGACAAAUUCAUCAUAUCUGGUUUUAUGUGGCGGUCCUUGAUCCACUUGGACUUGAACUUUGUACAAGGAUGGGUCAAUUUGGCACCCAGGAGCUGGGGCCAUUCCACAGCCCUUUGUACAUGGGUCCUGUCGGGGAAGAACUGGUUUCUGGGGAGUGAUCUGAUUCCCAGGCUCAGAGCUAAUUGGAUGUGGUUUAAGAAAUCAUUUCACAAGAAUACCGAUUUAAAAAAACAACAACAACAUACUAAAAUGGACCAAUAAACCAGACCAGAGACACGUCUGUCACUGUCAGACGAUUGCCCUGCCACUACACCUAUUUGUUCCCUGAGACUCUUGUGGAUUUCCAGAUUUUCUUGUGCUCGGUGGCUGCAUCUGCAGCCCUUCAUUCAGCAACAAAGCAGGAGCAGGGUGCAGAGCUGUGUUGUGCUGAAAAAAACAAAAGAUAUCCCGGUGAAAAUGUUAAAUUACAUAAUAUUUCUUCAGACGACAGGUAAAGGAUAUGAAUGCAUAUAAUGAACAGAUCUGAGACAGAUAUUAAUCCCCCUUGUAGCAUAAUGAAGAUUUAAAGAAAAACAAACAGUCCAUGAAGCAUCAUCUUCCUCCCUCUCACCUCCCUGAGUCCCACCAGCGUACCCUGGAUCCCUGGAUAUGCCACAUGUGACAUGUAUAUAAUUUUGGAACAGCAGUAGCUACUAGAACCCACUCAACUCUUUGUCUGUAUAUCUAUCUAUAUCUCUACAUAUGUAAUAUAUAUAUUGCAAAUAUCAUAGCACUUAAAUCUUCAAACAUUUCCUCCUCCAGACAGCUUGAGAUUCUUGUGCACAGGUGCACACUCAUGCAGACACACACAUUUCCAUGUAUUGAACACACACACACACACACACACACACACACACACACACACACACUCACAAUCACUCACACACACAGGCUAUUUCAGAGAGUGUUUCCCUCUUAUUAUUGGGAUAGAUAAGCUACAGGCAAUUUCCUUCCCAUUGUGGCAUCCACAGGUACAUUUUUGGAAGGUUCUAGUGAUACUUGAAAGAUGUCCUGUGUUAAGGGACAAAAAGAAUGUGGCAGAGAGGGGAGUAGGAAGAAGACAGACAGGGAGGGAGGGGAGAGAGGGAGCAAGGGAAGACAAGAAAGGAAAGGACAGACCGAAGGAAGAAUGCCCAGCAGCCUUUGCGGUACUGAAGCAUGCUUUGCUCUGGAAAGGUCCUGAGGGCACGAGUGUACGAUUGCUCGCCUUUCAAUCUUCUAUUUGUGAGAACAUCUUUGCAUUGAUCUCUGUCUGUAUGUCCUGGCGGCGUGCCGUGUUAAUUUGUUUUUGAGAUAUAGAUCCCAUAGUGUUAUCAACACUUGCGCUUCGCAUUAAGAGUCUUCGUACUGCUGUUUCGACUUCGUUGGCGGCAGACUCACACCUGCUACUGUAGAUGGAAUUCCAGAUACAUCCAAACAAACAAAUGAGACAUGAAAAGUAUUUCCAAUGAUGUUGACUUCACAGGGGAGAUAUGUUUUGUUCUGACAUGUAUGGAUGCUUCAGAUAUACUGACAAGUUCAUGGACCCUUAAAGCUAUUUAUCAUGCUCAAAAGAAAGUAAGAUUUUCAUAUUUACAUGUAUUGCUAAAAUAAAAAAAAUUAAAGAAAAAUUUGAAAUUAA
rnacentral:lncRNA from 1 species